rnacentral:rRNA from 1 species
UACGUAGGUGGCAAGCGAUACUCGGAAUCACUAGGCGUAAAGCGCAGGUAGGCGGUUUGGUAAGUCUUUUGUGAAAGCUCCCGGCUCAACUGGGAGAGGUCAAAGGAAACUACUAGACUCGAGUUUGGUAGGGGAUACUGGAAUUCCUGGUGUAGCGGUGAAAUGCGUAGAUAUCAGGAGGAAUACCUAUGGCGAAAGCAGGUAUCUGGGCCACAACUGACGCUGAGCUGCGAAAGCUAGGGGAGCAAACAGG